GCAGUACCUGAAAGCAAUAAAACACAACAAUGCACACCCAAAAAGCCUGAAGGAGUCAAAGAGUAUAGAAUGCUUAUUCCAUGAUCAAGAGGUUAGUGAAUAACAAUUCCUACUGCUAUUUUUUCUUUUUUUUUACUUUUUUUACUGCUUUAGGUUGUUCAACUGUAAAGCACAACAAUUGAAGCUUCUUCAUGUCUAGCCACUUUGUUCUUGGGUUUCAAAUCCAUCUUUAUCACACCCAAAAAGCCAUGAGGGUACUUUCAAUGCACACAUAUGAGUUGUCUGAAACAAGAACAAAAAAACAAGCAAAAGCAUGGGAGAUACUUAUAUCAUUAUGCAGAGCUAGGCAAAGAGGAGGUUGAUGAGAAAGAUUCUGAAAAAACUCUAAAGCAAUGGCCUCAUUGUGAAGACGUGUCUUAUGGAGCAAUUCACAAAGGUUGAAGUUCCUAAAAAGAUAAGGAUUGAGCUGAUAAAGAAGAAGAAAUUUUAAUGGAAUUUUAAAGUUGGAUCUGUUCUCCUGUUGUUGUUUUUGGAAUGUUAAUCUAUUAUUUCCUAUGUUUUUAAGUUGUUAGGUAUGUUCUCCAUUUCUGCUUCUGAAUAUUUUCUGCAGAAAUUUGUAAUAUAUUUUGUUUUCCUUAAAGUCUGUUCAUCUAAUUAUUGUAUUUUUGGAUGGUUAUUUAAAUAUUAUAAAUUAUCCACGUGUAUUUUUUACCUAUAUUAUUUGAUUUUGAAAAUUUAGUACUAAAAAAAAUAGCAUCAUAAUGUAAGUAUGCAACACAUUAUGGAUUCAAGUAUUAAGUAUAAGCAGUAAGAUAUACAUUUCAUCCAUAAAUUGAACAUUUAAUGCUUUAUUUCCACUGCCCAUAUAUUCCUUUAUCCAAAAAUAAAUAAAGAGUUAAUAAUUCACGUACUAUUCAAAUAUCCCAGUUGAGAAUUCAAAUGUAAUGACAUAUAUCUAAAACAAUAAUUCAAUAAAACACUUACUUAAUUGUGACAAACACUUUAUUGCUCAUUUUUUUAUAAGUAAAACUAGAGAAUAUUGGUUUGGAGAAAAUUAACUUAAAUAUUAGUAGUUUGUUUAUACACCUACUCCUUCAAGUAUACUUACACUUCAUAUCAAUUUUUGGGUGCCAAGCAGCAACUUAAAGAAGGAUGAGAAAUUUCAAAAAAAAAAAAAA